rnacentral:rRNA from 1 species
GUCUUAAGCAUGCAAGUCGAGCGGGCUUAUUCGGGUAACUGGAUAAGUUAGCGGCGAACUGGUGAGUAACACGUAGGUAAUCUGCCGUAGAGUGGGGGAUAACCCAUGGAAACAUGGACUAAUACCGCAUAUACUCUUGCUACAUAAGUAGAGUAGAGGAAAGGAGCAAUCCGCUUUACGAUGAGCCUGCGGCCUAUUAGCCUGUUGGUGGGGUAACGGCCUACCAAAGCUACGAUAGGUAGCCGACCUGAGAGGGUGACCGGCCACAUUGGGACUGAGAUACGGCCCAGACUCCUACGGGAGGCAGCAGCUGAGAAUCUUCCACAAUGGACGAAAGUCUGAUGGAGCGACAUCGCGUGAGGGAUGAAGGCCUUCGGGUUGUAAACCUCGGAAAUUAUCGAAGAAUGAGUGACAGUAGAUAAUGUAAGCCUCGGCUAACUA